ACGCUCGACACCUACGGGGCAGCAGUGAGGAAUAUUGGUCAAUGGACGCAAGUCUGAACCAGCCAUGCCGCGUGCAGGAUGACGGCUCUAUGAGUUGUAAACUGCUUUUGUACGAGGGUAAACGCAGAUACGUGUAUCUGUCUGAAAGUAUCGUACGAAUAAGGAUCGGCUAACUCCGUACCAGCAGCCGCGGUAAUCUGAGCGGGCGUGGCAAGGC
rnacentral:rRNA from 1 species